rnacentral:rRNA from 1 species
GAUGAACGCUGGCGGCGUGCCUAAUACAUGCAAGUCGAGCGAACAGACGAGGAGCUUGCUCCUCUGACGUUAGCGGCGGACGGGUGAGUAACACGUGGAUAACCUACCUAUAAGACUGGGAUAACUUCGGGAAACCGGAGCUAAUACCGGAUAAUAUAUUGAACCGCAUGGUUCAAUAGUGAAAGACGGUUUUGCUGUCACUUAUAGAUGGAUCCGCGCCGCAUUAGCUAGUUGGUAAGGUAACGGCUUACCAAGGCAACGAUGCGUAGCCGACCUGAGAGGGUGAUCGGCCACACUGGAACUGAGACACGGUCCAGACUCCUACGGGAGGCAGCAGUAGGGAAUCUUCCGCAAAGGGCGAAAGCCUGACGGAGCAACGCCGCGUGAGUGAUGAAGGUCUUCGGAUCGUAAAACUCUGUUAUUAGGGAAGAACAAAUGUGUAAUUAAAUAUGCACGUCUUGACGGUACCUAAUCAGAAAGCCACGGCUAACUACGUG